GCCGCCAUGGCGGAACUGGCAGACGCAAGGGACUUAAAAUCCCUCGCUGGAGACAGCGUACCGGUUCGAUCCCGGUUGGCGGCA
rnacentral:tRNA from 1 species